CCGCUGUACAUAUUAUAGGUAUUUAAUAUAAAACAACUGCGUCAGAACAUGCUUUAAUUGCUAGGAAAUAAUAUAUGUAGUGGUCGUUAUAAUAAGUAAACAAUGUGCGCAGUACGGCGAGACUGGAAACAAGUUUCCCUUACAAACGACGCUGUAGCGGGAAAAUGUGGAAACGUGAAAAACGCGCGCAUAGGGGUGGCAGCGGGGCAGCCAUUCCGUGGAUGAACGCGCGGCCGCGCGCCGCCUAAAUCGAUACGUCUCCGUUUUUACACUUCCAAAACGAAUAUUAUUUAAGAAAAAAAAUCUACUGUUUACCUCCAAAUUGUCAUCGUCAGUUUACAUUUCCGUACUUUUGUGAGUGUAAGUGAAAUUAUAUACGAGUACCUAGUAUCUUGGGAGUCUUACAAUAUGACAGCAGCACCGGCGGCAUCGUGUAUGAGCACUGAACACGGAUGCGUUAUGUUCGACUGCCUUGUUCAUCUAUGGGAAUGGCUCGAUCCUCCAUCAUCACAGACACAGUUCCAAAUGGAGAAUAAAAAGGCAGCGCCGGCAACACAACAACCUUUUACACAUCAACAUCUUAUGGCACAUCACGUACACCCUAAUGGGAUGUAUUCUCAACACCAUCCGCAACUAUCAGCCCACCUCACGUCUACACAAACAGAUCAAAUACCACCGAAUGGCGUCAUGCAUCAGUUAUUACAAAGUCAGUAUCACUCAAAUUUAGACGCACGAUCGCCACUAUUAGAAAACAGACAUGAACAGUAUGGCAGUGCGUAUAGUCAAAACCAAGAUUACGGAAGACAAUAUGGAGUCAAUGAUAAUUACAACAAUUACCAGCAGUCACCUCCAAGACCCGAACGAUCUGAAGUAUAUCUAGAUCAUAAUGUAAAUAGCUCACUCAACCAAAAUAUAUCAGCAGGCUACAACGUUGAAGUUUAUCAAGAUUAUUUAAAACGCAACCCACCGAAAGAUUCAAACCAAAUUUACCAAAACCAUCAGCCUACGUAUAGACCGAAUGCAAACCAAUACAGCUCUAAACCAUAUUUACCAUACUCUAAUAGAAUAGGGCCCCAAAGCAAUACAGAGUUGUUACGAAAACAGUACAACGAAAUUCAGCAGAUGAAAUUGCAGCAACAAAUACACUAUCAAAACCAGGCACAGAUGCAUCAACAACAAAAGUUCGCUGAGCGACAACUUCUUUUACAGCAAAUCCAUGGGGUUCAGCCACCUCCCAAUUUACAAAAUAGUAUAUAUUCAGAUAGUUCUUACCGUGAUUUAGAUAGAUAUAGUUCUAAAAAUGAUUAUAAGGAUUAUAGCAGUCCAGAAACACCAAAAGACAUAGAAAAGUAUGAGAAGAACAAUGACUAUCGCGAGGUGGAAAAUCGUAACCGUCAGUACCAAGAGCCUCAGUGGCAACACAAUCAACAAACAGAAUACAGAGAACAACAUGAAGUUCACAAAAGGCUAGCAGAAGGAGACAAAGGAAUCAAUAAACCCUCAAAUUCAGCUGGUCAAAAUCAAAAAAAUAACGUAGUUUCCCCUAUGAAGUCAACAAGCGAGUCCAGUUCUCCAAGUGUGAAGUCACCGUCUUCAGAGAGUCGGAGAAGUAGCAGCGGAACCCAAGCACUGAGAUCACCAACAGCUCAACGAAUACCAUCUGCCCCGGUAACAGUAGCCGGUAUUUUGUAUAAACAAGGAUCGGAUGGCCUAAAAGUAUGGCGCAAGAGAUGGUUUGUGCUAUCCGAAUACUGCUUAUUUUACUAUAAAAGUCAAGAAGAGGAAAAGUUACUGGGGUCCGUUUUGUUACCUUCAUACAAAGUGUCCGUUUGUACCGCAGAAGACAAAGUACUCCGAAAGUUUGCGUUCAAAUUAGAGCAUGCGAAUAUGAGAACGUAUGUACUGGCAGCACCCGACCAAGAAGCCAUGAUGAAGUGGAUGAAGGCUUUGACGAUGGCCGCGGUCAUGCAAACUCCCAACGAUCCACCACACAGUCGAAACGAUUUGUCCACUACCAAAGCAGAGGACGGCGAAGAUAUACCGAUGUAUGCGAAUGCACCACCAAAACCUAGACGCUCCAACGAGGGAUUCAAUUCGCCAAGCCCGGAUAUGUACGAUCCAAAUUAUGACCUACUCAAAAAACCGGCGUCGCAUUACAGCCAAAGCAUCAGUCACAUACGAAACCAAGAACACAACUACUCGAGCACAACUCAAGACCAGAUUUAUACACAAAGUCCACAGUCACCGUCGCAACAACAACGCACACAUCACCAGAAAAGACCAUACGAUUCGCACAAUCUCUCGUUGCCAUUAACAAACACCGCAAUGGAUAGAUUAGAGAACGAGCCGAGCACGUCAACGAAUGAUUUUAACUCUCGGUCUUUUGAUAGGAGUCGAGGAAUGCAGCACCAAUCUCAGGAGCAGCGCAAUAAAAACGAACAAAUUUACGAGCGGCAACCGCAAAAGAAUCCGUUCUUGCACGAGCCAACCCCGAAAACGGGUAGCUCGUAUAAUAUCGAUAUGAAUGCGCCGAAUCAAAAUUAUCAGACGAGAGGAAGUGAUAUACCACAAUCGGGUAAUAGAGAUGAUCAUUCAGGAGUGAAUUUGACGCCGAAUCCGGUUGAGUCCGCCAGAGAUUUGUAUGGAGAAUUAGAUUCUCGGGUGAGUAGAUCUAAUAGCGCAGCCAACGAGCGGCUAUUGAUGGAGAGGCGAACUCCUGACGCGUACGGUAGAUCUACGACCAUGUCGUCCUACAACAAAGAGAAGACGGGAGACUACGAGGAUAUAUACGGCAUUUACGGAGUGGAAAACGAUUAUGGUAAAAUGACCACUAAAUCGUCAAGCAUUAAUGAAACUAAAGAUAAUGCCAGCAGUCACCAACAUCAGUUGCAACACAAUGUUCAAGAGAAAACCUUUAGUGGCCCGUCAGUUCUGAGGAAGAAAAAAAUGCAAUCGAGCGGUAUCCAACCACCGAUGCCUAGGCCUCAUAGUGCUGAUUUUCUCGAAUACGAAGCGAAGAAUGAAAUGAAAAAUAAAUCUAUGCCAACGAGGACAGCCCACGAUCAAACUCGGCAGCCGCAAAGACCAAAAUCUAGUCUCGACAUCAAUUCUUACUACGACCCCAGCUCCGAGACAUAUUAUUCGGAGGAGAGCUACGCCGAAAAAAUGCGGCAGUCGGUCCAAUAUUUACAACAAGGAAUGAGGGCUCGUAACAUGGAGAUACCUUUGGCGAAGUACGCAAGUGGCCUCGCCCAAAAGCAGUUGAGCACCGCCUAUUCUCAAAUCACAAAUCAUAACUACAACCCUGAUUUGAAUACGACGAAUAGGCUUAGUCGUGAUCAGGUCAGUCAUAGCUCGAAGUCGGACGUGGAAGCUAUGAACUCUAAUUGGACAUUGAAAGAAAAGAAUGCCGAAAAUCAAAAAGACUACAUGAACAGAAGUGGAAGUGUAAUGAGCGAUGGAUCUAAUGCGAGUGCAAUGGUCAAGGAUGCUAGGUACGAUCCAAAUGGCGAAGGAUUUUUGAGGUCUGCCAGUGCCAGGCUACCGUCAGCAACGGAAAAGGAAGGCGAUAAGAAAGUGCAACAGCGCGAAGAAUCAAUGAAGCGUUUAUUAGAAUGGAAACAGCGAAUGUUACAAUCUCCGUUGACGAGAAAAAGUACACCGGCCACAAUAUCUCUGGCUCGUUCUUUGAAUCAAAGUCGACAGUCGCUACGAUCUGAUCAGUAUAAGCCGAAGACAUUUUCUAACGCUUCGUACAACAGCUACUCUUCUGAUGAUGAAGCUUCUAUGACAAUGUCAAGUAACUUAGAACAACGCAUGAAUAACAGUUCAAAUAAUCAACAAGCAUUGUCAAAGAAAGCUUUUGUCGGAAGUAAUACUUCAAUUGGAAGAAACAACAGAGAUACUAAUAUACCCGUACGCGCUGUGAGUCCAAGGGUGAGAUGGGUGGAAGAUAAACCACCUGCUGAUACCUACGGCUCCCAACAGAUGUCGACUUCGCAGCAAAAUUUAUAUGCAUUGGCUACUGAGGAUUCAUGGGCAAUGACAAGAUCACCAUCUAGAGCUUCUCAACAGCCAAUUAGUGCUGUUAGCCCAAGGGUUCGAAGGAAUAACGAGAACAACGAAAUGCAAAGAGGUGUUCAGCAACAUGGUCAGAUAGAUCAAUUUGGUGAAAUACCAACCGCUGGUGAAUUGCUUGGUCGCACACACGAAGAGCUGGUGUUGCUGUUGAUACAGUUAAGAAGACGUCACGCAGCAACGCAUCGAGCUAUAGAACAGUGUUGUACACAAAUUAGUAGUAUCGAGGAAUGUUUGAGCUCUUUGAAAGCCGCAGAACGAGACGAGAGUCUGAAAAGAUUGGAACAACUGAAAAUGCAAUUGAUGGAAUUGGAACAUCAGUAUGAAAAAAGCAAACCUUUGGUCCAGCUAGUGGAUAAUAUGGUGAAGCUGGGCUCAUUAUAUAAUCGGCCAGGAUCUACUAUAGAACGGCUGGAAAGGAACCAGAGACUGAGACAAAAAGUUUUGGCCGAACACGCUUUAGAACAACAAAGAUGGUUAGAGAGUGUGGCUGCAGGCAAGCCCCUAGAAACAGAAGCAGCGAGAGCGAGAGUAGCAGAAUUGUGGUCGCUGGAACAGGAACUGGCACACGAAGCCGAUAUACUGCAAGGAUUCAAGUCAAAUAAAGAUACUAUUGAGAAUUUGCUAUCAGGUGUCCGUGAUAACGUGCAGACUCACAAAGUUAAUAAUGUUUAUGAAGGAAAUGGCGGUCCGGGUCGAUCGAAGGCGGUUCCAGGCGAAGACUUGGAAGCUGAACUGGCCAGAGUACACGCGAUGUUGGCGCACAAUUCUAAGGUUUAUAAGAAACUGGAACAAACAGUGGCCGAUAAUGCGCGUCUCGAACGAGAGUUACACCAGCUACGGCGCGCGCUGCAGGCUCGCCGGGCCUCGGCGCCCGCGCACCCCACUGCGAUGCUUGAAGACGAAGUGACCAGAGUCCAGCAACUAGUGUCAGCUCUGCAGCGACAGCGGCAAGAGUUGAGUAGAGCCGUCAGACAUCUCACACAACAGUCUCAAGCAUUGCAGAGCACGCAGGACUCUAACCCUGGUAAAAACCGGUCUAUGUCGUCAUGGCAAGAGACCAAUUUAGACACUGGACACACGAUCGACCACGGCCAUUCAGAUUACGAAUACGAGAGCCCCCUACUGCCUCCAGGAUACUACGACCCCAACCAUGUGGUCACACCGUUAUAUGUGGACACGGGAGUGCCCACGCUAGAUGUGACGUCACCGCAGAAUGACGACAUGCACGGAGGCUUCGCAAACCUAUCCAACGUCGAGAAGCAGGAGAUCAAAACGGUACGCAUCGUCAAACGUGAGAGCGAAAGACGCCAACGCGACCGCGAACGUUCCUUACAGCCAAUGUCGGAUUGGCCCAACAAUGUUACGGCCAACAUCGAGCAGUUACUUGAAGAGGAGCUCGCGCAGCCCACCAACUACUCGAGGGCUGCCUCAGUCCCGCGAACCGAAUACAAAUACGACAACUACUACACCAGGCCCCAACCCGCGCCGCACGUUCGAUCUAAUGACAAAAACCCAGACCUCAGUCCCAAAUACGUGUCAAGUCCGUCUUUGUCGAAUUACGAUUAUUCCCGAGACAUCUCCUCGCUGAGCAGCAGCUACAACAAAAGCUACGAUCGUUCCGGUUACGACAGGACCAUUUCUCUUUCGACUCAGUACCUGAACAGUCCCACGGAUAGUUCUAGAACGUUGACCAACGAUCCACUAUCGAAGACGAGUAGCAUCGUCAGCCUGACCAGAUCCAACAUGGAGCUGUCCCCUAUAUUCAAGAGCGAGGCGGCCAAGCAGAUCAUCACGGAGAUGUCUUCGGAUGCCCCCAAGAACGGUUCGUUGCACAGAAGACAAGUGCCGAAAGAGAAGAGGCGGCACAACACCGCGCCUCAUCACCUCAGCGCGAAGACUCUCUAUGAAAUACCCAAAGAUACUCCCAAUCAAGACACGAUGGCGCGGUCUGUGGACGACGCGGACAUGGAGCGCGCGCUGCGCGGGGCGGCGCCGGACGUGGUGCGCUCGGCGCUGCCGCCGCGCGACUUGCGCCGGGCCGACAACACCAUCGACCAGCUGCUCGCCGCGCCGCAGAAGAUCGUCAUUCCCGAGAGAUAUAUCCCAGAAAAGCCACCAGAGCUGUCUCCGGAAGAACAGCAGAAGAGACAGGAGAAAGUUGAAUCAAUAAAGAAGAUGUUGACCAGUACGUCUGCCGAUCAGAGCAAGAGCCCCCAGCCGGAGGAAAAGCGGCGGCGCGAGCAUCUGCUGCAGAUGAACCAGAUCCUCGCCAAGCAGGUCACCGAGAUGAGCAAAAUUAUCGCCGGAAACAACUCGGAACAAGGGCCGUCCGCCUCAAACAAUUGAUAGGCUUUACACCCGAACAUGAUAUAAUAUAACAUAAAAAUGCACAUCCUCUCACCACAUCCCUAUAGUUCACAUUACACUCGACUUAAUAUUCUAAACGAUUGGCUGAAACCGGACGGACGGUCCUUCGAAGAAAUCUGAAAUGCGGAGUCGCAGCAUGAUAGCCUUUUGCGCAUUUUGUUGAAAGCGUUGGAGGAGCUGCCGCUAAAUCAGAGUGACCCAGAGGCGGAGGAUCGUUCGCCGGACGUCGAACUACCGAUUUAUCAACAGCGCGACAACUUUUUCACAUAAAAACCCA
rnacentral:misc_RNA from 1 species